AGAGUAGUGUGAUGUAUUGUGAAAUUAGAUCUCUACAAUUGUAGGCUAUAGAGAAAUCAAGAACAGAUCUUGACCCAUUAUUUCAAUAGAAAACAAUGAAUAAUUCGAAGAUAGAGACGAAAAAAAGAAAAUAGAGGGAGAAAUACCCAAUAAAAAAGAAAAACAAGGUUAUUUUAUGGGUGGAAUAGAAAAUGAAAAAAGAAGUGGGUUUUGGAGAAUUUGGUUUCAAUCAAGUUCGCUCUGCAACUUUCUCGAAACAAAAGUAGGAGAUGAUGAAACACACACUACUAGAAUUUUAACAUUUACUAACACUUUUUAUGUAACACUUUUUAAAAUGUUAGUUAUACUAAUAAAAUUAUACUUUUAACAACAUUUAUAAAAUAAAUGUUAGAAAAUAUAAUUUUUUUUUUUAAAAAAAAUAAACAUCAGAUACAAACGUUACCAAAUAGGCAACGUUACUAAAUCAAGUUUUAAGUUUGAACGCAUCUUCUUUGCAGUUUAUUUUCUUCACGAUCAAGAUCGAAUUUCUUUCUCGUUCUCUUCUGAAUCAAGUUUAUCUAUCCAAAUCAAUUUCUUUCUCAUUCUCUUCUGAAUCAAGUUUAUCUAUCCAAAUCAUUAACCUCAAUCGGUUCAUAUUCUUAUUCUCGAUCAAGGUUUUGCGAUUUCAGCGCUAUUUGAAUCAUUCUCGAAAUUUUGAUUCGCUUCUCGAUUUCAAUCUCAAUUUUGGAAGAAAGUAGUGAGGAAGAAAGGAUUAAGGAUUGAUCUUCAAAUUUGGGAUAGUUUGUUUGAGGUGAACUACGAGUAGAACAUGUUUGUGAAUUUGUCUCAGUGAAUAUAGAGGCUGAAACUCUCCUUCAAUAUUUGAGAGAAUCAAGACAAGAAGCAUCAUCUUCAAGUUCUUAAAGUGGAGUUAUUAUUACUACUACUACUACUUAGGGAGUUGGUACUCUAGGUUCAUAUGCACCAACAGCAGCUUCAUGGCCAAAAAAGAAGAUCCAAAAAGAAUUUAAUUUUUUGAGGUUUAAGCAAUCAAGUUUAGUAUUUCGUUGUGAACGCAUUGAGGGAGGGCCUACAUGGCAAGAAUGUAAGAGAAAAUAUAUUGUGAAAGUGCCCUCUGGACAAUCUUUUGAAUCUGAACCUCCAGCUUUUGAUUCAAAAAGAAUUUUGACCUCUGUUAAAAAUUCAUUGGAUGCUUUCUAUAGGUUUUCCAGGCCUCACACGGUUAUUGGCACCGCAUUGAGCAUAGUUUUUGUGUCUAUCCUAGCAGUGCAGAAAGCAUCAGACAUAUCUCCUCUAUCUUUUACUGGUAUGUUGGAGGAAGAUCGGUUUAAAUUACUUGGUGAGAAACAUCAGCUCUAUGAAUUUCUGGAUACAUUCUACGUGCAAUGUUCAUAUAUGCUUUCAACAAGGAGCAUGUCAAAGCUAUUCUUUCAGAAAUUGUUAAACAUAAAGCUGCAGAGAAUGAACAACGGAUACAGUCUUACAUGAAUAUGUUGGUGGUAAGGACAUGAUGUUUUAGGUGCAGUAAAUUAUUGCAUUUGGUUAUUGGAAGCACUUGUAUCUUCAGUUCCCAAGGUUGUAGAGAGUCAUGUUGAUUCUACAUUGAUCCCGGAUAGGGCACCAUUAUCAGCAUAUCAGUACUUUAAAAAUGUGAGAAAUUUUCUUGUUGCUGUCCAGUUAUAUAAGAGAAUGAUAUGGCUGCAAAAUUAGUAUGUUAAUUGGUGUUAUCUUGUGAUGUUAGAUGACAAACAGGGAGCACUUGAGUUCCUCAAGUUAAUAUCAGCAUGAAUUUUAUUAUUUUGUUGUAAAUACUUGUAUGCAGUCGAACUGAUCUUUACUAUAGGAAAAGUUUGUGCAAUGUAAGCAUAUUGAAGAAAUAGGAAAAUUGACUUAUUGAAUCAAUUUAGUGUUUAAAUAUUUUGGAUUUAAUUUGUAAAGUAGGUGUAGAAUAUUGUAAUUUUUUUUAUUGUUAACAAGAAAGAUCUUUUGUAACAUUUUUUCAAUGUUAGCAAAAAAGAUAAAUU